CAGUCGCCGCGGUAAAACGAAGGGUGCAAGCGUUACUCGGAAUUACUGGGCGUAAAGCGUGCGUAGGUGGUGGUUUAAGUCCGUUGUGAAAGCCCUGGGCUCAACCUGGGAAUUGCAGUGGAUACUGGGUCACUAGAGUGUGGUAGAGGAUAGUGGAAUUUCCGGUGUAGCAGUGAAAUGCGUAGAGAUCGGAAGGAACAUCUGUGGCGAAGGCGACUAUCUGGGCCAACACUGACACUGAGGCACGAAAGCGUGGGGAGCAAACAGGAUUAGAUACCCCCGUAGUCCCUGUCUCUUAUAC
rnacentral:rRNA from 1 species